rnacentral:rRNA from 1 species
AACGAACGCUGGCGGCAGGCCUAACACAUGCAAGUCGAGCGAGGACUUCGGUUCUAGCGGCGGACGGGUGAGUAACGCGUGGGAAUGUGCCCUUCUCUACGGAAUAGCCCUGGGAAACUGGGAGUAAUACCGUAUACGCCCUAUUGGGGAAAGAUUUAUCGGAAAAGGAUCAGCCCGCGUUGGAUUAGGUAGUUGGUGGGGUAAUGGCCUACCAAGCCGACGAUCCAUAGCUGGUUUGAGAGGAUGAUCAGCCACACUGGGACUGAGACACGGCCCAGACUCCUACGGGAGGCAGCAGUGGGGAAUCUUAGAAAAUGGGGGCAACCCUGAUCUAGCCAUGCCGGGUGAGUGAUGAAGGCCUUAGGGUUGUAAAGCUCUUUCAGCUGGGAAGAUAAUGACGGUACCAGCAGAAGAAGCCCCGGCUAACUCCGUG